UACGUAGGUGGCAAGCGUUAUCCGGAUUUAUUGGGCGUAAAGGGAACGCAGGCGGUCUUUUAAGUCUGAUGUGAAAGCCUUCGGCUUAACCGGAGUAGUGCAUUGGAAACUGGGAGACUUGAGUGCAGAAGAGGAGAGUGGAACCCCAUGUGUAGCGGUGAAAUGCGUAGAUAUAUGGAGGAACACCGGUGGCGAAAGCAGGUCUCUGGGCCGUUACUGACGCUGAGGAGCGAAAGCGUGGGGAGCGAACAGG
rnacentral:rRNA from 1 species